AUCAGGCCAAUCGAAGGAUCAUGUGAGCCACAAACGAGAGCCACCUACAGAAUUUUAGAUUUUCUAGUGGCCACAUUUUACAAGGUAAAAACAAACAGCCUCUGCUACUCAAAGGGGGCACAGAGCAUACUGACAUCGCCUGGGAACUCCUUAGCAAUGCAGAGUUUCAGAGCUCACUCCUGACUACAGAAUCAGAAUCUGCAUUUGAGCAAGAACCUCAGUUUUUCAUGAAAAGGAAUCUAUUGAAUGGAACUUGCUUCAGAAAGACCUAGGCAUAUUGCAAGCCAGGAAGAGUGGAUUUUGAUCAAGAAAGUUGGCAUUUGCAAUAGACCCAACUUUGUUCUGAGUGACUAAGUUCCUUAGAAAACCGACUGACGCCUCAACGAGUGUGUCGAUUGGAAAAUACUGACAAUUUUCAGAACACUGGCCUUGCAUGUUAAUGGCCCGGCGUUGCGGGAGGGAACAGUGAGGUACUGUUGCCGCACACUGGGCCGUUCUUACCCACGG
ensembl:lncRNA